AGAGUUUGAUCCUGGCUCAGGAUGAACGCUGGCGGCGUGCUUAACACAUGCAAGUCGAACGAUCCUUCGGGAUAGUGGCGGACGGGUGAGUAACGCGUGGGAAUCUGCCCUCAGGAGGGGGAUAACGGCUGGAAACGGCCGCUAAUACCCCAUAUGCCGAGAGGUGAAAUGAAUUUCGCCUGGGGAUGAGCCCGCGUCUGAUUAGCUAGUUGGUGGGGUAAAGGCCUACCAAGGCAACGAUCAGUAGCUGGUCUGAGAGGAUGAUCAGCCACACUGGGACUGAGACACGGCCCAGACUCCUACGGGAGGCAGCAGUGGGGAACUUUCCGCAAUGGGCGAAAGCCUGACGGAGCAACGCCGCGUGAGGGAUGAAGGCCUCUGGGCUGUAAACCUCUUUUCUCAAGGAAGAAGACCUGACGGUACUUGAGGAAUAAGCCACGGCUAAUUCCGUGCCAGCAGCCGCGGUAAUACGGGAGUGGCAAGCGUUAUCCGGAAUUAUUGGGCGUAAAGCGUCCGCAGGCGGCCUUGUAAGUCUGUUGUUAAAGCGUGGAGCUCAACUCCAUUUAAGCAAUGGAAACUACAAGGCUGGAGUGUGGUAGGGGCAGAGGGAAUUCCCGGUGUAGCGGUGAAAUGCGUAGAUAUCGGGGAGAACACCAGUGGCGAAGGCGCUCUGCUGGGCCAUAACUGACGCUCAUGGACGAAAGCCAGGGGAGCGAAAGGGAUUAGAUACCCCUGUAGUCCUGGCCGUAAACGAUGAACACUAGGUGUCGGGGGAAUCGACCCCCUCGGUGUCGUAGCCAACGCGUUAAGUGUUCCGCCUGGGGAGUACGCACGCAAGUGUGAAACUCAAAGGAAUUGACGGGGGCCCGCACAAGCGGUGGAGUAUGUGGUUUAAUUCGAUGCAACGCGAAGAACCUUACCAGGGUUUGACAUCCUGCGAACCCCUGAGAAAUCGGGGGGUGCCUUCGGGAGCGCAGAGACAGGUGGUGCAUGGCUGUCGUCAGCUCGUGUCGUGAGAUGUUGGGUUAAGUCCCGCAACGAGCGCAACCCACGUCUUUAGUUGCCAGCAUUCAGUUGGGCACUCUAGAGAGACCGCCGGUGAUAAACCGGAGGAAGGUGUGGAUGACGUCAAGUCAUCAUGCCCCUUACAUCCUGGGCUACACACGUACUACAAUGCUACGGACAAAGGGCAGCAAGCUCGCGAGAGUUAGCAAAUCCCAUAAACCGUGGCUCAGUUCAGAUCGUAGGCUGCAACCCGCCUACGUGAAGGAGGAAUCGCUAGUAAUCGCAGGUCAGCAUACUGCGGUGAAUACGUUCCCGGGCC
rnacentral:rRNA from 1 species